rnacentral:lncRNA from 1 species
AUGAUACGAAAGAGCAUGGAUGCUUAUUCAGGGUGUUCUAACACCGUUACUGCGUCCAGUUUAAGGAGAAAGUGUUUUGUCCUUAACCAGUUAAGACCCAAACUUACACACAAUAAUCUCAGAAAAAGAAUGCUGCUCUCUCCUUUCUGUACACAGCAAGCAGUGUGCACACAAUUUGCAGACUACACGCUAUCAGCGAGACAGAGGCACGGGCAGGUCUUUGCGGGAAGGUCUGAAGGCAGACUCGGCAGGAACUGGGCAAACACAGGCGGUUUACUCGAUCAGACGACUCAGUUUAGUCACGUUUGAAUAAAAUAACUGAAUAUGAUUUGGCCAAGUUUCAUCGGCACAGAACUCAAGAUGCAGCCGCAGGGCAGGCUGUGGGCAGGCUCUCCGGCCCCUCGGCGCACUGCCGGGGGCUCAGCAGACAGCGCAGAGGGCAGGAACCUCAGCCCAGCGGUGGUUCCUCAUUGUUGACUUACAGUAAAAAUAACAAUUCAAUACACUUCCACGCACAAGAGCUUCUACAGUGGUUAUGAAAACAAGCACUUCAGCGGAACAGCAAGAAGGCAGAAACCCAGAAAGUAGUUUAAAACUCAGUGCUGGUUCGUCCUUGUGAAACCGAGCCCCUCACCUGACAGCCCACACGGCCUCUGUUGCGUGUUAGUGGCAACAUGUGCGGACAACUGGGCACACCUGUUUCAAGAGAGGCCACGUGUGUGUGUCCAGCCCAGUCUGGGGCCCAAGGACUCACUCCCCGUCCACCAGGCUCUGGGCGCUGCCCCUCCUGAAAUGGAACUGAAGCAGCUGUACUUGGGCCUCAAGUUCUUUCUAGCAUCAAUUCUAUCUAUGAACUUGUCAUUUGAAGUGGGAAUAAAUAACUGAAUUUUAAAAUCAACUUUUAUGUUUUUAGCUAAAAAAGUGCAAACUCACAACACAGCAGAGAACCAAGCCUGCAGCGCCUACAGCGCCCACGCCCAGCUUCCCUCCCCAUCACCCCAGUGGCGAAAACCCUGACAGUCAUGU